UGUUCCCUCUUCGGCUUCCGUAGACGAGGUCGGGCGGACCUUCGUCCGGGGUUUCGGUGCCCCCCCUUCCCCUUCCCCGGGGUCCGGGGGUGACAUUGCACCGCGCCCCUCCUGGGGUUGCGUCGCCGCCCCACGCGGAAUACCCCCCGGCGCGCUGCUCCCUUUCGCCUCCCUUGGCCGGGGCUCCCUCCCGCCCCCAGCUGCCCAGUCAUGGGGGCUGCUGUGUUUUUCGGCUGCACCUUCGUCGCGUUCGGCCCAGCCUUCGCCCUUUUCCUGAUCACUGUGGCAGGAGACCCGCUUCGGGUCAUCAUCCUGGUCGCGGGAGCCUUUUUCUGGCUGGUCUCCCUGCUCUUGGCCUCUGUGGUCUGGUUCAUCUUGGUCCAUGUGACAGACCGAUCAGAUGCCCGGCUCCAGUAUGGUCUCCUGAUUUUUGGUGCUGCUGUUUCUGUCCUUCUACAGGAAGUGUUCCGAUUUGCCUACUACAAGCUCCUUAAGAAGGCAGAUGAGGGCUUAGCAUCACUGAGCGAGGACGGAAGAUCACCCAUUUCCAUCCGCCAGAUGGCCUACGUUUCUGGUCUGUCCUUCGGUAUCAUCAGUGGUGUCUUCUCUGUUAUCAAUAUUUUGGCCGAUGCACUUGGGCCAGGUGUGGUUGGGAUCCAUGGAGACUCACCCUAUUACUUCCUGACUUCAGCCUUUCUGACCGCAGCCAUUAUCCUGCUCCAUACCUUUUGGGGAGUUGUGUUCUUUGAUGCCUGUGAGAGGAGACGGUACUGGGCUUUGAGCCUGGUAGUUGGGAGUCACCUACUGACAUCAGGACUGACAUUCCUGAACCCCUGGUAUGAGGCCAGCCUGCUGCCCAUCUAUGCAGUCACUGUUUCCAUGGGGCUCUGGGCAUUCAUCACAGCUGGAGGCUCCCUCCGAAGUAUCCAGCGCAGCCUUUCGUGUAAGGACUGACUACCUGGACUGCUCGCCCGACAGAUCCCAUCUGCCUGUCCACUGCCCAUGACUGAGCCCAGCCCCAGCCCGGGUCCAUUGCCCACAUCCUCCGUCUCCUCGCUGAUGUGCCCCGCUACCUUCCGGGUGUGGCGUUGUCCAUUUGUGACCUGUAGUCUCUAAGCUUUAUCAGGAGCAGCCUGGGUGCAGCCCAACAGGGACUGGCCGACGGCAGGAGGACAGUCGGGUGAUGGUGUAUUCUGCCCUGCGCAUCCCACCCGAGGACUAAGGGAACAUGGGGGGGACCCCUGGGCCUGGGGUGCCCUCCCGAUCUCCUCGUCCUGUAUUUCUCCAUCUCCAGUUCUGGACAGUGCAGGUUGCCAAGAAAAGGGACCUAGGUUAGCCAUGGCCCUGGUGAUGAAGUCACUGGAGGCUCAAGGGUAGAUGAGUUCAGUUUUCCUGUAUCUCCUGCCCAGACUGGACAUCAUGGUCUUUUUCUCAGGUCUGAAAGGAACCAUUUUUGGUAUGAUAAAGACCCCAGAAAUGCCUUUUUUUUUAAAGUGGGGAGAGGGAGGAGGUGUACUGGGAGCCUCCUAACCUCCUUGGGCUGUAUUUUUGCUCCUGAAACUGCUGAUCAUGGCUCAUUUCUAUCUCUUUUUCCCCUUGGUCCCAGGCCCUGGGGAAAAGGAAGGAAGUGCAUGUUUGGGAACUGGUACCACUGGAACUUACGUUUUAAUGUCCGUGACCAUUAGCACCCCUCCUCUCCCCAAGGUGAAGUGGAGGGUGUUGUGGGGGUUGGCCCACUCCAUGGCAGUGUCCCUGGAGGAGAUAGACUACCAUGGCAUCGCAGGCCAAGAGGGCAGACAUUUUUCUAGUUUUUAAUUGGGGUGUGGGAGGGCUGGGGAGGUUUUCUAUCACUGUAUCAUUUUUCUGCUGAGGUUGGGAUGUCCCAUCCUUUUAAUCAAGGUGAUUGUGAUUUUGACAAAUAAAAAGGACUUUAUAAUUGUG